rnacentral:rRNA from 1 species
UUUACGUAGUCCUGCGUCAGAGUGAACGACGUGGCGGGCGUUGCUUAACUACACUGCAAGUCGAGCGAAGCACUUGUCUUGAAGUUUUCGGAUGGAGAGCAUUUGACUGAGCGGCGGACGGGUGAGUAACGCGUGGGACCUGCCUCAUACAGGGGAAUAACAGUUAGAAAUGACUGCUAAUGCCGCAUAAGCGCACACUGUGGCAUCACAGGGUGUGAAAAACUCCGGUGGUAUGAGAUGGCCCCGCGUCUGAUUAGGCAGUUGCGGGGUAACGGCCCACCAAACCGACGAUCAGUAGCCGACCUGAGAGGGUGACCGGCCACAUUGGGACUGAGACACGGCCCAAACUCCUACGGGAGGCAGCAGUGGGGAAUAUUGCACAAUGGGGGAAACCCUGAUGCAGCGACGCCGCGUGGGUGACGAAGUAUUUUCGGUAUGUAAAGCCCUAUCAGCAGGGAAGAAGAUGACAGUACCUGACCAAGAAGCCCCGGCUAACUACGUG